AGCGAACGCUGGCGGCAGGCCUAACACAUGCCAGUCGAACGAACUCUUCGGAGUUAGUGGCGGACGGGUGAGUAACACGUGGGAACGUGCCUUUUGGUUCGGAAUAACUCAGGGAAACUUGUGCUAAUACCGAAUGUGCCCUUCGGGGGAAAGAUUUAUCGCCAUUAGAGCGGCCCGCGUCUGAUUAGCUAGUUGGUGAGGUAACGGCUCACCAAGGCGACGAUCAGUAGCUGGUCUGAGAGGAUGACCAGCCACACUGGGACUGAGACACGGCCCAGACUCCUACGGGAGGCAGCAGUGGGGAAUCUUGCGCAACGGGCGAAAGCCUGACGCAGCCAUGCCGCGUGAAUGAUGAAGGUCUUAGGAUUGUAAAAUUCUUUCACCGGGGACGAUAAUGACGGUACCCGGAGAAGAAGCCCCGGCUAACUUCGUG
rnacentral:rRNA from 1 species